GAGAACUCUGAAGAGGUGCCGCUAAAUAACGAAGACGCUAUUGAGUCUGCCAUUAUCCAACAUUGCUCUGCUCUCCUCUUCUCUUCGACGUUGCUCUGGCUCUCCUCUUCCACGUUGCUUUGUUUUCGCCUUCUGUUAUGCUCUACUCUCACUCACUCAAGUUGCAGUUGAUAGCCUUGCCUCAUUCUCGCUUCUUCUGGCUUUUAAGGUUUGCUUGCUUUGCUUCUUUUGUUGGGAUUUAUUUAUGGGAUCUAUUUUAUUUUUUAUUUUUGUUACACGGAAGGGGAAAGAAGGGAAGCAACACGAGGACUAUUAUGGGAUCGAUUCUUGCUCUGUGCGUGUAUCGGCAUAUUGGACAAAUUGAAAUAUACCCUAAUUUUGGGCCACAUGUUUAUUCAAACAAGUACAAAAGAGUAUUUAGAUUAGGUGUGUGCUGAACCAGUUCGAAUUUAAAGAUGUACUAAAUAAUUCAACUGUAUCGUGGGCAAAUGGAUCAUGGGUGUUAUUGUAAUCAAGUACAUCAACAUUGAUCACUCUCCACUGUGUAUUAUAAACUAGGAAAAUUCAAUGAUCUGAAACGUGUGUUGUUCCAU